UGAGGAAUAUUGGUCAAUGGGCGAGAGCCUGAACCAGCCAAGUAGCGUGCAGGAUGACGGCCCUAUGGGUUGUAAACUGCUUUUAUGUGGGGAUAAAGUGCGUGACGUGUCAUGCAUUGCAGGUACCACAUGAAUAAGGACCGGCUAAUUCCGUUCCAGCAGCCGCGGUAAUACGGAAGGUCCGGGCGUUAUCCGGAUUUAUUGGGUUUAAAGGGAGCGUAGGCUGUCUAUUAAGCGUGUUGUGAAAUUUACCGGCUCAACCGGUGGCUUGCAGCGCGAACUGGUCGACUUGAGUAUGCAGGAAGUAGGCGGAAUUCAUGGUGUAGCGGUGAAAUGCUUAGAUAUCAUGACGAACUCCGAUUGCGAAGGCAGCUUACGGGAGCGCAACUGACGCUAAAGCUCGAAGGUGCGGGUAUCGAACAGG
rnacentral:rRNA from 1 species